rnacentral:tRNA from 1 species
CAGGGGUUAGUUUAAUUAAAAUACUGGUUUUGGGGACCAGUGAAAGGUAUAUUACCUCUCCCUGA